rnacentral:lncRNA from 1 species
CCCUUGAUUUCAUAUGAGAGGACUGUGAUCGUGUUUCAGUGAGUUAUUCUCCUUCACCCCGUUAUACUGUUUCAUUUAAUUUUUCUCCUCUAUCUUCAUUUUUUUUUCCCUCGCAUGAUUGCAAGUUGAAUAAUUUCAUAUCUAGGAAGAGGGAUUUCCAUGUUUCCUUAAUGCAGGAUUUCUUUAGAAAACACAGUGUAGCUGUCAUGACAAUUAGGGAAUUGUUCGAUUGUAUAGUAUAGAUCUUAUAUUGAAGACGCUUCAGUGGGAAGUCAUCUGGAAGAGGUAUUAUCAUGUGCACAAAUGUUGUCUUUGAAUUACUGGAAAGAUCGCAACAGCAAAAUUUGGCUAGAGGUGAUGUAAUAUCUGCAGAGGACUUGCACUCUGUAUUUAUGCAGGUCUCUAACGGCAAAUCUUUUUGUACACCAAUCCUUUGAAGCCUCGACUUAAUUCUACUAAGUUCGUGUAAACGGAUUUUUUUAGCAC